GACCCCACAGGAAGAGCAAGGAGCUGAUCCCACAGGAGGGAUGGGGAGCUGAUCCUAUAGACACCACAGAAGGGGUGGGGAGCUGAUCCCACAGAUCCUACGGGCAGGAGGGGAGCUGACCCCACAGACCCCACAGAAGGGGUGGGGAGCUGACCCCACAGAUCCCUCAGACCCCACAGGAAAG